UCCACACUCAAGCGUGCCUACCUCUCCAUCUAUAACUGGGUGCAGGUGCUCUACUACGUGCUGCUGGAUAGUUUACCUGGACGUGUACGUCGCCAGUCGAGAGGCAUCUCCAGCUUGCGCAGACCGCCGUCUGUGUCUAUCAUUGAUCAGUUAUCUGUAACUUGCCGACGUGUUUUCUAGGUCGCUAGUUUUGUACUUUGCCUAUAACUGCAUGAGUCAUUCUCGCUGAAAUGACAUGAUUUAGCUUUUAAUUCUUCUGGCCAAACAUGUGGUUUAGCCUUUUGCCUUUGCUUAUCAACAGUUGUUUUGCUUGUUUUUGAGCUACUGCCACUUUGAGCUGAUGUAGGCCUGUAGUUAUUUAUUGCAACUGAGCUUCUAUAUUGCAUUGUUGGACCAA